rnacentral:sRNA from 1 species
ACUCAACGCUAAUUAGUUUCAAAAGGGUGAGUUUAGAUUAUGCAAGCAGGCCUUCUCGAUCAAGGAAACUUAAGUAAUCUGUUAGCCCUAAACCUGUUUAUUCAGAGUUU